UGGCACCACCUCGCUCAGCUGUACUGUGUUAGCUCUGUGGGGUUUAGGGACACCUGUCAGGUCAGGAUCCACUAGCCCAGCAUUAACUCAUUUGUAAUCCCAGCCCAGGGCCAAGGUUUAAAAGAGGCAUGGAGCAGUUCAGUGCUUUUGGCUUUACCUGCUGGGUGGUGGAGGUUCAGUGCUGGUGAGACUUUACUGGCAGGUCAAGCAGAUAAGGCUGCUCUCAACCCUCAUCCCUUCAAGAUCAGAUGAAGAGUAUGGUUCCCUUUGCUUCCUCUCCUAACAGCACGGCUGCAGAAUGGCUUCAAGCUUCCCUUUCUGCACAAGAGGGGGCAGAGCUGCACAGUGGUGACAGCUGGCUGGAAUUAAAUUUCUCACUAGAGGUGAGCAAUGCUAAUGAACAUGUCAAGAACCCCCUGUGAGUGGACAGCAAGCUCAAACCUGAGAUGAUGCUAUCAAAAUGACUCUCCCAACGUGUGUCUCGAUGGAGGAGUUGCUGUGGCUUCUAAGCUCAGCCUGAAUAAGGUUAAGCUACCUGUGAGCCCUGUGCUGCAGGAACGCAGCUCAUCCUUGCCCUCAGCACCAGCUCUGAGGGCUCUACCACAAGAAGCAAUAGUGGACAACUAAAUAUGAAGAAGGUUUUCCCAGCGGUGACAGCAGAAGGGAAUCGAGGAGGCAAUUCUCCAUUUCAGAAUGCCACAAGGCUUGGCAACCCCAGUUUUGGAAGAAUACCCUGGAAUUGACAACGCCACCACGUCAUGCCCUUGCUUUCCGAGAGAUCAUGGUGGAUCGGUGGCUCUGCAGUGAUUCAGAAGGAACACCGCCAUCUAGUGCGCUUUGAACACAGCACUCCUGUACCACUGAAAGCAACGGGAUGUGGGGCUGUGCGUGCAGAGGCUGGAGGCACUGAUCGAUAGCAGGAGGCAUUGUGUUCUUGGUGUGUGAAGAAAAGCUGAUUUAACUCACUGGUGAUCUAAUUAUGAUGUGGGGGUGAGGGGAAAGAACAAAAUCAGAUGCUACUUCUAACUUAUCUUGCAUUAGCAAUCCUUUAGCUGGAAUCUGUGGGUGAUCUACAAAGCCUGCUUCCACAAGCUCUGUGAAAGGAAGUUUGUGUGCUGCCUUAGUGAUGUCUGAUCCUUACCUGCAGUGAAUAACCUGCCAGGAUGGGGGCAUCCUCCCCUACCUUGUGUGCCCACUUGCCCCAAAGCUGUUCCCCAGCAAGAGAGUGACAGCUCUAAGGACUCCUCUUGUCUGAAAAGCUGGAAUAAAUUGCAUGGACCUCUUAAAGAGAAAACCUGAAGGGCUGUAUCCAAACAAUUUAUGGAUUAGAAAGCCUCUGCAGAUUUCUCCUUGUUCAGGACCAGCUACCUCUCAUCCUAGCACGUUAUGUUGCAGGAUGGCAAAAUCCUGCCUGUCCUGGGGCAGCUGCAUGGAGCUCUGCAUUGUGUGGCUUUUUGGGGGGUGUCUCUGAUGGGGAAUGAGGUCACAGGCUGCCAGAGGUGAUCCUCAACAAGGAGUCAAGCAGGCUCAUCUUAUCAGACACAUUACAGGUAGUCCCCUGCUCCAUUUCCUUAGUGCCAGGUGAAAUAAUGUUCUGUGCAGCUACAGGGAUGGCUUAGUCUUCCAGUGGUAGGGUUUUUUGUAAUGUGCCCAGCUCAUCUGACCUGUCAGGAGACAGUUCCCUUGCUCAAGGAAGGAAAAUGUGACAGUUUUUUGCUCUCCAGCCUCUCCCAUGUAGGAAGGAGUGAUCUCUCCCUCCCCAUCCUGCCUCUGAAGUAGGUGAAAGUUCUUCCAUGGAGGAUCGUGACCCUUAUGGAGGUUGUAGGAGGAUUCAAAGAGAACCAGUGUUUAUGCUAGCCUUGAAAUGGCUAAUUAGUUUUAAUUCUUGGCAGCAGCUCAGAAACUACAGCUGUUUCUCAUGUUCCUGCCCUGCAGCAGUGAAGCUGUUGCCUGCAGUCGGGGUAGCUAGCUGUUCCUUCCUGGUGCAAAUGUCUUCAGCCAGUUCUUACACAGCCAUGGAGAGGGCUGAGGGUCACUUUUUUUUUCUUAAAAUGAAAGGAAGAUGUGUUCAAAACAGCUGCAUUUGUGUGUGGGCAAGGAGGGAAGCUAUGAAAAGACCUAGGUCAAGCAAUAGAUUCCUCACUUCCCCAUUGCUCUUGGUUAGUGAAGCGUUGCUGCAGAGCUGGGUUUCUGUUGGCGAUCCCUCCCAAACCAUUAGAUCACCUUCCUGACUUGGUCUUCUGACUCAGGUAUAGCUACUGGAUGUCAGUGUAAGCUUUCAGACUUUUUUUUUUGUGCCAGGAAGUGCACCCAAUUUGUCCCACAGCAGGUCACUCAACAACGUGUGAGCACGCUGUGUGGAUUGCUUACAUCCUGACCAGGCUGGUGGCUCUGCUCCUAGUCACAGCAGAAGUAUGUGCUUACUUAGCAACAAGCAGCUGAUGAAUUAAUCUGAUCCCUCCACUAGAUGGGAUGGCAGCACCAUAAUUUCGAAGCACUUAUGGUUAAAAUGUGAAGUUCCAGCACAGCCUGCUCAGUGUGACGGGUUCCCGUGCCAGACACCACUAGCCAGGGGCUAUGAAAGGUGAAAGCACUUACUUCCAGAUCCUCCCCAUCAGAAAGGGCACAAAAAAGGAAAUGAUUCAGCGCCCCAGAGCCAUGAUACACAGAUGACUGGGGCUGACAUCAUCCAGCAGUCAGGCAACACGGUGCCCCUGCAACCCUGGAGGUCAUAUCCUAAUGUGAAUGUAAGUGAGGCAGUGAGCAGAGGCUGAGAGCUGUCACUUCUGCCUUGUCACUAUACGCAGCGUGUGCUGUUAGCUGUCCAGAGAAUGGAGAUGAGCUUGUUCUGGGAAGUGGUAAGAGCUAACACUUACAGGUCUCUAGCUUUAAUACUCUGUGCAAUCUUAUUCCAUUAUUGCCAGUAUGGUAAUGUUCACCCUGCCCAUAAUUGCAGUUCUCAUUGUUUAUCCCAGAGUAAUGCUAGCAAAUAGCAUAUGACUUAACAGCUCUAUUCUUCUUGCUUCGUGCUCUUAACUGUGGGCAGAAGUUUCAAAUAUUACUGCUUUCUGAUAGAAAAAGAUGCAAAGAGCAAGUUGUCCAGGGACUCCCAGCAAGUUGACAGCACAACAGAGCAGUACCUGUAUAUUACUGAUUCCCAGCCUCCUGAACAAUAUGAUCAGGGCCCUUCAUUACAUUAAACUCCCCAGGAAGCCAGACAGACCCUUUAGAAAACAUCUUGGGUUCUUAUCUUGAUGGUGCAGUAGACUAGACAUUGAUUGUCUUGAAUCUAAUUUUUAAGGUACAUUUUUAAUGAAAUGUGAAAAUCAAGUCUUGUUUAUAAAAAUAUAAUACAGAACUUAGUGCUCAAUAUUUUAAUCUUUUUACUUUUGAUUUUCAGAAUGACAAACAUCUUUGCCCUGACACCACUUAAAAGGGUUCAUGUAUUGUCCAUCUAAACUGGAUGGUUGAGUCGAAGGCAACAGGAGUUUGUGGGACUGGGGAAGGUGUGAGGAUUAAGUGAGGUUUCUGGUGGUACAAGCAUGAGUUGGUUAACAGUGAAGUGAUUGUAUGCUUUGUAAUUUAAUGCCUAGCAUGUUCCAGAGUUAAUGUCCCCUGGAGAGGAACUGAAUAUUUGUAAUUCCCCCCAGUCUAAAGCCUCAGAGGCCACAGAAGCAGUCAGGCCAAUGCUGCAUCAGGUACAUUCAGCUGAUGCUUUCAGUGCCUCCCUGGUAACCCCAAGGACUUGCAUUCUCAAGCAUGGUUUCAUGGCAAAAUAAAAAUGUUAUUCCCAGAGAAUCAGGGAAAACUGUGGGCCCUCUGUCACAUCUACUUUGAGCUAAGGGCCUCUCGACUUUAUAGUGGUACAGCUUUGAAUUUCAGUUGUUAUUCAU